GAUCCUGGCUCAGGAUGAACGCUGGCGGCGUGCUUAACACAUGCAAGUCGAACGAAGCGCUUUAUUUGAUUUCUUCGGAAUGAAGAUUUUGUGACUGAGUGGCGGACGGGUGAGUAACGCGUGGGUAACCUGCCUCAUACAGGGGGAUAACAGUUGGAAACGACUGCUAAUACCGCAUAAGCGCACAGGGUCGCAUGACCUGGUGUGAAAAGCUCCGGUGGUAUGAGAUGGACCCGCGU
rnacentral:rRNA from 1 species